UACGAAGGGGGCUAGCGUUGUUCGGAAUCACUGGGCUUAAAGGGCGCGUAGGCGGGCUGUCAAGUCUGGGGUGAAAUGCCGCGGCUCAACCGUGGAACUGCCUCAGAUACUGACGGCCUCGAGGAAGGUAGGGGCAUGCGGAACUGUAGGUGGAGCGGUGAAAUGCGUUGAUAUCUACAGGAACUCCGGUGGCGAAAGCGGCGUGCUGGACCUUUUCUGACGCUGAGGCGCGAAAGCUAGGGGAGCAAACGGG
rnacentral:rRNA from 1 species